rnacentral:rRNA from 1 species
UGCCAGCAGCCGCGGUAAAACGUAGGAGGCGAGCGUUAUCCGGAUUCACUGGGCGUAAAGCGCGUGCAGGUGGCUUGGUAAGUUAGGCGUGAAAUCUCCCGGCUCAACUGGGAGAGGUCGUCUAAUACUACCGGGCUAGAGAACAGAAGAGGAAGAUGGAAUUCCCGGUGUAGUGGUGAAAUGCGUAGAUAUCGGGAGGAACACCAGUGGCGAAGGCGAUCUUCUGGUCUGUUUCUGACACUCAGACGCGACAGCUAGGGUAGUAAACGGGAUUAGAGACCCCGGUAAUCCUAGCCGUAAACGAUGUGAACUUGGCGUUGGUGGGUUAAACUCCAUCAGUGCCGAAGCAAACGCGAUAAGUUCACCGCCUGGGGACUAUGGCCGCAAGGUUAAAACUCAAAGGAAUUGACGGGGGCCCGCACAAG